AAUCAACGCUGGCGGCGUGCCUAACACAUGCAAGUCGAACGAGAAAGUGGUGCAAACCAUGAGUAAAGUGGCGCACGGGUGAGUAACACGUGACUAACCUACCCUGGAGUGGGGAUAACUGAGGGAAACCUUAGCUAAUACCGCAUAACACCUACGGGUCAAAGGAGCAAUUCGCUUUGGGAGGGGCGCGGCCGAUUAGUUAGUUGGCGGGGUAAUGGCCCACCAAGACUGUGAUCGGUAUCCGGCCUGAGAGGGCGCACGGACACACUGGAACUGAAACACGGUCCAGACUCCUACGGGAGGCAGCAGUGGAGAAUUUUGCGCAAUGGGGGAAACCCUGACGCAGCAACGCCGCGUGGAGGAUGAAGUCCUUCGGGACGUAAACUCCUUUCGAUCGGGAC
rnacentral:rRNA from 1 species